GUAGAAUUCCGUGGAUGGAAGUUGGACCAGAUGAGUGGACCGGGCUUCUGCUACAGAUUUCUAAAGAUAAGGCUCCAUUUGGCUCCACCGGAACUGCGUGGUCACCAGAGAAAACAACAAUUUCGAAGUAGUUUCAGCCACAUCUAGCAUUGACUUGACUUGCAGGUUCAGUAACUGCCUGUCUUGAGAUGGCUUCCGCAGAAUGACUAGUAUUCCAUACUAUCACCAAGCCAUGACACAGUUUUGAAGAAUUUGAAGUCCCGAAGCGCACAAGGAGGAGCUCCGCGGAUCUACAUCGAUUACAGGCCAGAAAUCAUGUAGGUCUGAUAUUUCAUGGGUAAGAAGAACAAGGAGGACACCUCAAGUUGAAGAUCAUAGCCAGCUACUUGUGUUCACCGACAAACUAGCACACUCUCGUCAUGUCGAUAGCUCCAUGACAGUUCAGGAUCUCUAUGACAACAAGAACAGAGGUCAUUUUUUGGCUUAAUAAAAAACUCUAGCUAUUUGUUUCUCCAUACAUCUGGAUAUACUAUUAGAUGGGUGUUGAGAAAAAUAUGGAAGUAAGCUACCUGGAACUGUCACAUUAGCCUACGUUCAUAUUAGCGAGGUGGCAGUUGCCAUCCUAAUUAUAUUGAGGAAAUAUAAACAGCUAGGCCACCACCCAACAGUGAGACGUUAGCACAUAUCAGAAAAUAAUGGCGGAGACUGUGAUUCUUCUAGCCAUUCAAAAGAUUGGAAUUGCCUUAGCAAAUGGAGCGGCAAACCAGGCCAGUGCACUGUUUGUGAAGUACGGCACGCAACUACUAAAAUUACAGCGCGGCAUGGAUCGUGUUGUGAGGGAGCUUCGUUUAAUGCAUGAAUUUCUGUGUCAAAUGGACAUUCGAAACCGCAAGAAACAAGCAUAUGAGAUCUGGUUGGGGGAGGUACGGAAAGUAGCACAUCUGAUGGAGGACAUGGUGGAUGAGUACUUGUAUCUAGUUGGUCAGGAACAUGAUGUUGGCUUUUUCUUUUUCCUGAAGAAUGGGUUCAAAAAGCCAAGAUCUCUACUUUCUUUGAACCAGAUAGCUUUUAAGGUGAAGGAAAUAGAGAAAGACCUUUCACACCUGUCAGAGACAAAAACCCGUUGGGUUCUCGUGAACAAUGAGGAUACUAGCAGCUCGGACUACAUUGUUAAGAGGUCCCAAGAGCUAGCAAACAUUUCACGUUGCCUUGAGGAGGAAGAUCUAGUGGGGGUCGACAAGAAAAGAGAAUUACUUCAGCAGUGGUUGGCAGGUGAUCAAUUGGAACGCUCUGUGAUAGCACUGCUUGGAAUGGGAGGGCUUGGUAAAACAGCUUUAGCUGCAAAUGUCUACAGGAAUGUGAGGGAGAAAUUUCAGUGCCAUGCAUGGGUCUCCAUCUCUCAAACUUAUUCUAGAGAAGAUGUCUUGAGGAAUAUAAUCAAGGAACUUUCUAGAGAUAAAGACAGUGUUCUAUCUAACACUGCGGGUAUGGACAUCACAUGCCUUCAAGAGACGCUAAAGAAGUUUCUGGAGCAACACAAGUAUUUGAUCAUUUUGGAUGAUGUUUGGACUCCAGAAGUAUUUAAUGAUUUGUCUAGGAUAUGUAUUCAUAAUGAGAAGGGCAGCCGGCUGCUAAUCACAACAAGGGUAAGCCGUGUUGCUGCGCUUGCCUCUCAAGGGUGCAUCUUAACACUCGAAGCUUUACCCGAAGACAAGGCACGGGAUCUCUUUUGUAAGAAAGCCUUUCCAAGAGAUACGAAUUAUGAAUGUCCAGUGAAGUUGAAGCCUUUGUCUAAUGAAAUAUCUAGCAAGUGCAAAGGAUUGCCUCUUGUUAUUGUGCUAGUUGGUGGCCUCUUCCUUGUGCAUGAGAAAACUGUGGAAGAAUGGAGAAGAAUAAAUGCCCAAUUAAAUUGGGAGCUGAUUAAUAAUCCGGGGUUCGAUCAUAUCAGGAAUGUUUUUCAUCUCAGCUUUAUCUAUCUUCCAACACAUUUGAAAAGUUGUGUCCUGUACUGCAGCUUAUUUCCAGAAGACUAUAUUUUCAAAAGGAAACAACUUGUACGGUUAUGGAUCGCAGAGGGGUUCGUCGAGGAGAGAGGUGAAUGCACAUUAGAAGAAGUGGCGGAGGGAUAUCUAAAGGAGUUGACUGACAGAAACAUGCUACAACUUGUUAAGAGGAACACUUUUGGUAGGGUGAAGAGAUUUAGAAUGCACGACAUCAUUCGUGAUUUGGCAGCUGAUUUGUGCAAGAAGAACUGUUUUGGUGUUACAUAUGACGAUAAUUGUGGGUUGUCUAUUGAGACAAAUGUGCGUCGAUUGGUACUACGCAAACCAAAGAAGGAUAAUCAUCAGCCUUCGGGUAUGCACCAACUUCGUACAUUCAUUACACUGGACAAAAUCAUGCCAUCACUCACUCUACUACCUCUGCUAUGUAAGGAGUCAAGAUAUAUGACAGUGCUAGAACUAAGUGGUCUGCCCAUUGAGAAGAUUCCAGAUGCUAUCGGUGAUCUUUUUAAUCUCCGCCAUUUGGGUUUACGUGAUACAAAAGUGAAGGUUCUCCCGAAGUCUGUUGAGAAUCUUUGCAAUUUGUUAACACUGGACCUUUAUGAAUCUGACAUACAUAAGUUGCCCAGUGGGAUUGUGAAACUAAAGAAGCUUAGGCACUUAUUUGCUGUGAUAGUAAUUGAUCGAGAAGGAAAAUUGUCUAAAUAUGGUGUGUGUUUCCCCAAUGGUCUUGGAAAUCUAACAAACCUGCAGACGCUGCAGGCAUUGGAAGUACAAGAGGAGUCUCUUAGACAUUUAGGGGAGUUGAGACAAAUGAGAAGCUUGAGGUUAUGUAAUGUGAAAGGAAUUUAUUGUGGGCGCAUCAGUGAGUCUCUAGUUCAGAUGCCGUAUUUGUCCUUCCUAGAUGUGAUUGCAAGUGAUGAGAACGAGGUUCUAAAGUUGAAUGUCCGCGUGCCAAGCCUGCAAAAGCUAACUUAGAGAGGGCGACUAGCGGAAGGGGCGUUGGACGAGACUCCUCCCUUUCAAGCUGGUAGGGGGCAGAACUUGUAUGAAUUGCAUCUAUUUUGGUCCCAGCUGAGAGAAGACCCCCUGCCACCCCUUUCUCGGUUAUCAAACUUGACGCGUCUAGAUCUCACCACAGCAUACAGCGGAGUCACUGGUUGGUUUCCCAAGCUAAAGGUUCUCUGCCUAAGAGACCUGCCUGAUCUGAGUCGGCUAGAGAUACAUCAAGGUGCCAUAGAGAUCCUGGAGGAAUUAAUCUUAAUCAACCUCAGCAGCAUGACGGACGUCCCACCUGGCAUUGAGUUCCUCACGUCCCUCAAGAACCUAGGUUUCUACAAGAUCAGCAGAGAUUUCUUGACAUCCCUGCGCCAGUGUCCUGCAAUUCGAGGGAAGUGGCGAUAUAGUCUCCGAGAUUGACCUGCUACUCUGGUCUGGAGACAAUGCAUGUACGUAAGGAAGGAAGAUGCCUCACCAACGAGUUAAGGCGCCGAUGCACCUCAAUCAAUAUGCACACAACAGUGCCGCUGCUGUUCUGCUUUACAGUCCGGAUUUCCUCUGCUGUUCCGAAAUGUCCAACUGCCCAUCUCCACCCCUAAAUUUGCUGCUACCUCCACUACGUACAGUGCUUCAUUUCUGCUACUACUACUGCCUGCGUUCACUACUGCUACCAUGUCCGUGCAUUGGGUUUCCUCUGCUGUUCGUGAGACGGCGAGUUUACUGGCAUUUGUGUGUUUCCAUAUUAAAACUAAUUUACGUAUGUGUGCUUAUUGUAAGCCUGCGACUGAGUCGUGUUUCCAUUUUCAGACCUUUUUUCUUUUUGCAUUACCUGUUUGAACUCUGUACUUCUAUGCAUGUGUGCUAGCUGAGAACUAUGUCGCCUAUUUCAGCAGUGGCUGUUAAAUAAAAGACUUGGUUUGUACUUCGUAAUGUUCAGGUAUGCAUUUACUUUUCCA
rnacentral:rRNA from 1 species